CGCUAGCCAUCUCAUGAUGGUUCCCGCGCCGCGAAUCCGCGACCGGGAUGAAAAGGGAACACGGUGCGGCCCAAUCUGAGGCCAAGUCCGCGACUGCCCCCGCAACUGUAAGCGGAGAGCGACGCCGAAACACCACUGACCGCAAGGUCGGGAAGGUCGGCCAAGCGAUGACCCGCAAGUCAGGAGACCUGCCAUCGAAACUGAAACUCG
rnacentral:ncRNA from 2 species